CCCUUAGAGUUUGAUCCUGGCUCAGGACGAACGCUGGCGGCGUGCUUAACACAUGCAAGUCGAGGGCGGGGAGCAAUCCCCGACCGGCGAACGGGUGCGUAACACGUGAGCGACCUGCCCGCGUGUGGGGGAUAGCCGGCCCAACGGCCGGGUAAUACCGCAUACGCUCUUUGGGGGGCAUCCCCUGGAGAGGAAAGGAGCAAUCCGCAGGCGGAGGGGCUCGCGGCCUAUCAGCUAGUUGGUGCGGGUCAUGGCCCACCAAGGCGACGACGGGUAGCUGGUCUGAGAGGAUGGCCAGCCACAUUGGGACUGAGAGACGGCCCAGACUCCUACGGGAGGCAGCAGUGGGGAAUCUUGCGCAAUGGCCGCAAGGCUGACGCAGCGCGCCGCGUGAGGGAGGAAGGCU
rnacentral:rRNA from 1 species